rnacentral:rRNA from 1 species
AAAUUGAAGAGUUUGAUCAUGGCUCAGAUUGAACGCUGGCGGCAGGCCUAACACAUGCAAGUCGAACGGUAACAGAAAGCAGCUUGCUGCUUUGCUGACGAGUGGCGGACGGGUGAGUAAUGUCUGGGAAACUGCCUGAUGGAGGGGGAUAACUACUGGAAACGGUGGCUAAUACCGCAUAACGUCGCAAGACCAAAGAGGGGGACCUUCGGGCCUCUUGCCAUCAGAUGUGCCCAGAUGGGAUUAGCUUGUUGGUGAGGUAACGGCUCACCAAGGCGACGAUCCCUAGCUGGUCUGAGAGGAUGACCAGCCACACUGGAACUGAGACACGGUCCAGACUCCUACGGGAGGCAGCAGUGGGGAAUAUUGCACAAUGGGCACAAGCCUGAUGCAGCCAUGCCGCGUGUAUGAAGAAGGCCUUCGGGUUGUAAAGUACUUUCAGCGGGGAGGAAGGUGUUGUGGUUAAUAACCGCAGCAAUUGACGUUACCCGCAGAAGAAGCACCGGCUAACUCCGUGCCAGCAGCCGCGGUAAUACGGAGGGUGCAAGCGUUAAUCGGAAUUACUGGGCGUAAAGCGCACGCAGGCGGUCUGUCAAGUCGGAUGUGAAAUCCCCGGGCUCAACCUGGGAACUGCAUUCGAAACUGGCAGGCUUGAGUCUUGUAGAGGGGGGUAGAAUUCCAGGUGUAGCGGUGAAAUGCGUAGAGAUCUGGAGGAAUACCGGUGGCGAAGGCGGCCCCCUGGACAAAGACUGACGCUCAGGUGCGAAAGCGUGGGGAGCAAACAGGAUUAGAUACCCUGGUAGUCCACGCCGUAAACGAUGUCUACUUGGAGGUUGUGCCCUUGAGGCGUGGCUUCCGGAGCUAACGCGUUAAGUAGACCGCCUGGGGAGUACGGCCGCAAGGUUAAAACUCAAAUGAAUUGACGGGGGCCCGCACAAGCGGUGGAGCAUGUGGUUUAAUUCGAUGCAACGCGAAGAACCUUACCUGGUCUUGACAUCCACGGAAGUUUUCAGAGAUGAGAAUGUGCCUUCGGGAACCGUGAGACAGGUGCUGCAUGGCUGUCGUCAGCUCGUGUUGUGAAAUGUUGGGUUAAGUCCCGCAACGAGCGCAACCCUUAUCCUUUGUUGCCAGCGGUUAGGCCGGGAACUCAAAGGAGACUGCCAGUGAUAAACUGGAGGAAGGUGGGGAUGACGUCAAGUCAUCAUGGCCCUUACGACCAGGGCUACACACGUGCUACAAUGGCGCAUACAAAGAGAAGCGACCUCGCGAGAGCAAGCGGACCUCAUAAAGUGCGUCGUAGUCCGGAUUGGAGUCUGCAACUCGACUCCAUGAAGUCGGAAUCGCUAGUAAUCGUGGAUCAGAAUGCCACGGUGAAUACGUUCCCGGGCCUUGUACACACCGCCCGUCACACCAUGGGAGUGGGUUGCAAAAGAAGUAGGUAGCUUAACCUUCGGGAGGGCGCUUACCACUUUGUGAUUCAUGACUGGGGUGAAGUCGUAACAAGGUAACCGUAGGGGAACCUGCGGUUGGAUCACCUCCUUACCUGAAAGAAGC